rnacentral:rRNA from 1 species
AGAGUUUGAUCCUGGCUCAGGACGAACGCUGGCGGCGCGCCUAACACAUGCAAGUCGAGCGAGAACCAGGGCUUCGGUCCUGGGGACAGCGGCGAACGGGUGAGUAACACGUGGAUAACCUGCCCUCGGCACCGGAAUAGCCCGGGGAAACCCGGAUUAAUGCCGGAUGGCCCCACAUCCCUGCGGGGAACGUGGGAAAAGGUAGCUUCGGCCUCUGGCCGAGGAUGGGUCCGCGGUGGAUUAGCUUGUUGGCGGGGUAACGGCCCACCAAGGCGACGAUCCAUAGCUGGUCUGAGAGGACGAUCAGCCACACUGGGACUGAGACACGGCCCAGACUCCUACGGGAGGCAGCAGUGGGGAAUCUUGCGCAAUGGGCGAAAGCCUGACGCAGCGACGCCGCGUGCGGGAAGAAGGCCUUCGGGUUGUAAACCGCUUUCAGGAGGGACGAAGCCACUCGGGUGAACAGCCCAGAGGGUGACGGUACCUCCAGAAGAAGCCCCGGCUAACUACGUGCCAGCCGCCGCGGUAAUAC